GUCAUAUCACGCCGAAAGAUCGGUUCCCGUACGUUCACCGUAGUUAAGCAACGUCGAACCUAGUCAGUACCUAAAUUGGUGACCGCUUGGGAAUAGCGGGCGCUGUAAG